UGGUGGAGCGAUUUGUCUGGUUAAUUCCGAUAACGAACGAGACUCUAGCCUAUUAAAUAGUUCGCCGAUUUUUCGAGUCGGCGUCAACUUCUUAGAGGGACAAAUGUCGUAUAGGCACGCGAGAUUGAGCAAUAACA
rnacentral:rRNA from 1 species